rnacentral:pre_miRNA from 1 species
UCUUCAUUUCUCGUGCUAUCUCAUCGGUCAGAGUGACGAGAGAGUGUGUUUAAUGAAGAGA